rnacentral:rRNA from 1 species
UAGGGAAGGCGUAGGGAAACCGAGUCCGAAUAGGGCGAAUCAGUCGCUGGGCGUAGACCCGAAACCAAGUGAUCUAUCCAUGGCCAGGAUGAAGGUGCCGUAACAGGUACUGGAGGUCCGAACCCACUAGUGUUGCAAAACUAGGGGAUGAGCUGUGGAUAGGGGUGAAAGGCUAAACAAACUUGGAAAUAGCUGGUUCUCUCCGA